ACGAAGGUGGCAAGCGUUGUUCGGAUUUACUGGGCGUACAGGGAGCGUAGGCGGUUGGAUAAGCCCUCCGUGAAAUCUCCAGGCUUAACCUGGAAAGUGCAGAGGGGACUGUUCAGCUAGAGGAUGGGAGAGGAGCGCGGAAUUCCCGGUGUAGCGGUGAAAUGCGUAGAGAUCCGGAGGAACCCCAGAGGCGAAGGCGGCGCUCUGGCUCGCAACUGACGCUCAGACACGACAGCAUGGGGAGCGAACGGGA
rnacentral:rRNA from 1 species